rnacentral:rRNA from 1 species
AAUAGAUACCCAGGUAGUCCAUGCCGUAAACGUUGGGCGCUAGAUGUGGGGACCAUUCCACGGUUUCCGUGUCGCAGCUAACGCAUUAAGCGCCCCGCCUGGGGAGUACGGCCGCAAGGCUAAAACUCAAAGGAAUUGACGGGGGCCCGCACAAGCGGCGGAGCAUGCGGAUUAAUUCGAUGCAACGCGAAGAACCUUACCAAGGCUUGACAUAUACGAGAACGCUCUAGAAAUAGAGAACUCUUUGGACACUCGUAUACAGGUGGUGCAUGGUUGUCGUCAGCUCGUGUCGUGAGAUGUUGGGUUAAGUCCCGCAACGAGCGCAACCCUCGUUCUAUGUUGCCAGCGGUUCGGCCGGGAACUCAUAGGAGACUGCCGGGGUCAACUCGGAGGAAGGUGGGGAUGACGUCAAAUCAUCAUGCCCCUUAUGUCUUGGGCUUCACGCAUGCUACAAUGGCCGGUACAAAGGGCUGCAAUACCGUAAGGUGGAGCGAAUCCCAAAAAGCCGGUCUCAGUUCGGAUUGAGGUCUGCAACUCG